UUCCGGUUGAUCCUGCCGGACCCCACUGCUAUCGGGGUGGGACUAAAACAUGCAAGUCGAGCGCCUCCAAGCUAUGGUGAAGGCGCGGCAAACGGCUCAGUAACACGCGGCCAACCUACCCUUGGGACGGAGACAACCCCGGGAAACUGGGGCUAAUCCUCGAUAGGUAAGGAAUCCUGAAAUGGAUCUUUGCUGAAAGGGCGUCUAGACCAUGCUUCUUGACGUCGCCCAAGGAUGGAGCCGCGGCCGAUCAGGUAGUUGGCGAGGCAACGGCUCACCAAGCCUAUAACCGGUACGGGCCGUGAGAGCGGGAGCCCGGAGAUGGGCACUGAGACAAGGGCCCAGGCCCUACGGGGCGCAGCAGUUGCGAAAACUCCGCAAUGCGCGAAAGCGUGACGGGGCUACCCCGAGUGCCGCCCGUUGAGGGCGGCUUUUCCAUGGUGUAAGGAGCCGUGGGAAUAAGGAGAGGGCAAGACUGGUGUCAGCCGCCGCGGUAAUACCAGCUCUCCGAGUGGUGGGGACGAUUAUUGGGCUUAAAGCGUUCGUAGCCGGCUUAACAAGUCUUCCGUUAAAUCCAACGAUCUAAUCGUUGGGCUGCGGGAGAUACUGUUGGGCUAGGAGGCGGGAGAAGCCGACGGUAUUCUCGGGGUAGGGGUGAAAUCCUGUAAUCCCGGGAGGACCACCAGUGGCGAAGGCGGUCGGCUAGAACGCGCUCGACGGUGAGGGACGAAAGCUGGGGGAGCGAACCGGAUUAGAAACCCGGGUAGUCCCAGCUGUAAACGAUGCGGGCUAGGUGUUGGGGUGGCCACGAGCCACUUCAGUGCCGCAUGGAAAGCAAUUAAGCCCGCCGCCUGGGGAGUACGGCCGCAAGGCUGAAACUUAAAGGAAUUGGCGGGGG
rnacentral:rRNA from 1 species